GAUGAACGCUAGCUACAGGCUUAACACAUGCAAGUCGAGGGGUAACGAGAGGAAAGCUUGCUUUCCUUGUCGACGACCGGCGCACGGGUGAGUAACGCGUAUCCAACCUGCCCCCAACUAGGGAAUAACCUUGCGAAAGUAAGACUAAUACCCUAUAAUUUCCUCAGAUGUCAUCUGACGAGGAAUAAAGAUUUAUCGGUUGUGGAUGGGGAUGCGUCUGAUUAGCUAGUUGGCGGGGUAACGGCCCACCAAGGCAACGAUCAGUAGGGGUUCUGAGAGGAAGGUCCCCCACAUUGGAACUGAGACACGGUCCAAACUCCUACGAGAGGCAGCAGUGAGGAAUAUUGGUCAAUGGGCGGAAGCCUGAACCAGCCAAGUAGCGUGCAGGAUGACGGCCCUAUGGGUUGUAAACUGCUUUUAUACAGGAAUAAAGUUAGCCACGUGUGGUUAUUUGUAGGUACUGUAUGAAUAAGGACCGGCUAAUUCCGUGCCAGCAGCCGCCGUAA
rnacentral:rRNA from 1 species